rnacentral:rRNA from 1 species
UAGUGAUUAGAGUUUGAGCGUGGCUCAGAUUAAACUCUAAUCGAAUUCCCGACACAGGCAUGGCGAACGGCAGCAUGUGACUUCGGUCUUAAUUCGGUCUAUAGGGAGUCGGGUGAGUAACACGUAGGAAUCUGUCCUGGAGCGUGGGAUAACCCGAGGAAACUCGGGCUAAUACCACAUGAUAUCGAGAGAUCAAAAGCAGGGGACCGAAAGGCCUUGCGCUCUGGGGUGAGCCUACGUCGGAUUAGCUAGUUGGUGGGGUAAAAGCCUACCAAGGCGACGAUCCGUAGCUGGUCUGAGAGGAUGACCAGCCACACUGGGACUGAGACACGGCCCAGACUCCUACGGGAGGCAGCAGUGGGGAAUCUUGGACAAUGGGGGAAACCCUGAUCCAGCGAUGCCGCGUGUGUGAAGAAAGAAUUCGGGUUGUAAGCACUUUACGUGGGGAAGAAAGGUAACGAGCGAAUAACUCGUUGCUAUGACGUCACCCGAGAUAAGCACCGGCUAACUCUGUGCCAUCAGCUAAUACGAAUCGAAUUCCCGC